GCACUGAGACCAGAAUAGAAGGCAAACACUAGCUCCCUUGUCAUAGCUGUCCAAAGGCUGAAUUGAGAGGGGCGGGGGAGCAAUGGAACGAAGCGGGGAAAGAAGUAAUUUUACAAGGACUGCCAGCCAAAGUAUCUGACAUUGAGUGACCCGUAUGGAAAACAUGUGGGUAACACAUUUCUUCAGUAGGCUGGCAAAAAAUAGAACUGAAGUUAUGUCAUAGAAAGUGAGAUCUGUUUAUUGUGAGAUCUUGGCAUAACUUGAACUCCAAGACAGUAACUGGCAAGCUUGAACUUCUUUGCACAGUUCAUGACUGUGUGAAUUUGAAAUGGUCGAACAAAUGUUGCCAAAUUAAAUGCAAGUGUACAGAGAUUAUUGGUUAUUAUCACCUGGAUCCUUGAACUUUCAGUUCCUCUGAAAGGCUAAAAGCAGCCAGGCAGCUGAAGCUGGCUUCCUUUUUAAGUUCCUUGGAAUCUAUUUGAGAGAGAUUCAAUUUCACAGCUUUCAUUCUCAGCCCAAAAUGCAGGUGCACAGAUAAGAAGGCUGAAACAAUCCUGAGGCAUUACACACAAGCACAACAAAGACAUUUGAAGAGAGAGAGAGAGAGUCCUGUUCAUCCCCACUGGAUUGGUUCAGACAUGUCUACUGCAGCAUCAGUUGGUGAUCUGCAUGCCAGAAUAAGCAUUUGUAUAUUGAACCUCAGAGACAGAACUUUCUUAACGUCUUACACACUUUUCUUCAAUGGGCUGGGACCAUACAGAUCUGUAAGUCUUGAUGCACUGUGUGCAUCACAUGAAAGGAAAUAAAAUGACAUAAAGCAAUAACAACAACUGGAAAUGCAGGAAAAUUCAAGAAGAUGAAGUUACUAUGAUGUUACAGGGGAGUUUAAUUUUGAGUGUUUUGUAGAGAAUAAGAAUGUUAUGGCUGGUGCAGUUCUCAUGGGGAGAUUCUCAGAAUUUGAAAUGUAGGCUGCUUUAUACUGGGCACUGCUCUUGCCUUAUGGGACUGAGGAGCCAGCACAUGUGAGAGAGAAGAAAGAAGACAUUACCAUCACCCCCAACACACCAGAAAGGAGCUUUGUGUUCACAUCUUCUGGACAACGUUGACCCGUUUAUCUCUAAAUAUGGCUAAAGAAAUCAUACCCACCACAUGGCUGAACAAAGAGGCACAUGUAAUACAAUAUUUGUACUGGACAAAUUGAAAGCUCAUGCUUCCCCAGGUCUCUUCCAAGAAGAUUCAAAAAAGUUUUAAAAACACCUACACAAAGCAAUUAAGACCAAAGGCCAUAUGCAACAGUAAAUUCUUGACUAUCCCCAUGAAAUCAGAAGAGCACUGUAGGACAAAGCCAACACAUUGAAUUGAGCUUGGAAGCAGAUUGAAACUGUCAGUCAAAUGAUGUACAUCCAUCUCACACUGUCUGGAUGAAUCCCACUCCCAUCAACCUCAGAGGAUGGCAAUGGCAAGCCCCUCAGAACAACCCUUAACAGAAACCCUGGGACAGGUUAGCCUUGGAGUGAUUCACACUCUCUCAGCCAAGAUACCCACGGGUUUAAAUGUGGGGUCUAAUGCAAUAUAAUAUGUGUGCAAAAGCUUUAGUUUCUACCAACUUGGUAGCAGAGUCUGUUGUGAUUUUAUUUCUUGGGAAAGAGGAAAAAAAUGACCCCUAACCCCCUAAAAAAGAUUAGAAAUUGCCUAAUAAUUGUCUAGUUAUUCCUUCUUCAAGGAUUAAUUAACAUAGGCUAGAAUCCAGUUGGAAAGUUAUGAAUGCAUUAUACAGAGAUACAGACUUGUCAUGGUUUUGUAUUCAUGAUCGCUACAUGAUCCCCACAUAGCCCUUAGUUUAGCAGAUACAUAGGGAUCGUGAAAAUCCCUCAGUCUCCACUUACUAGGUAGCAGCUGCUGUGAUCAAUGGAGGUCUGUUCCCCUGCCAUUUGGGAAGCAGUCUCUCUCUCUCUGUGUCUCUCUUUCACAGAAAAUGAAUGAUCUUGGGCAUGAGGGGAAUUGUGAUAUGGGCUUGCUUCUGCCUGUUGUAACAGAGAUCGAUCACAGGAAGGGGUGAAAACAACAAUUACCUGCAUCCUAAUUGACAGAAUGAUGUGGUUGCUGCCCAAGUGGGGGAUUGGGGAGAUCUGGACAGGAAUAGUUGCGUAGCACUAUUGCUACAAUGUUUACGCAUUCAUACGCAUAAAUCAACAGGAUUUCAACCAUUUUGGGGGGGUCUCCAGUUUGGGGAUACUUUCUGACUCAUUAUUAUAGCAGAUACUGUCUGUACUCAAACUGCAAGAAAAGCAUCUGGUCACAGAUUCUCAGCUCCAACCAUCUGAAUUCCCAAGUUCAAAUGAUAUGUUGAAAUUUUAAUCAACAAAGAACAUUUUCUCAUCCACAAUAGUUCCAUUGUUUUCUCAUUCUGGAGCAUUUCACUGUUUGUUUGUUUUUAAUCUGUUCUCCAAGGAAACAAUUACCCUGGGAAAGGUCUGCUUAUGAACAGAUGGAGCUACCUUGCACCAAGUCAGGUCACUGGUGCAUCAAGCCCACUUCUGUCAUUUCUACUGUAGAAUUUGGCCUUCUAUUAGACAGAAUGAAGUGGUUGUGUCAGGUGACAGUGCUGUGUAUAAUGGAAGAAAAAUCUAUGUGCCAUGAAGCAUGCCUUGAAGCCCUCAACUACUUACUGCUUUCAAAUGCGGUAGAUUAUGUUCUCUGAUUCCACGUCUUGAAGAGAGAUUUAUUUGCCAGUCAAAUUGGCUUUUGUAUAUGAAUGGGAAGGUGAACAUUUUGUCCUUUGCCCCAGGCAGCAAACUCAAGAUGGCUAAUCUCAAAGGAUUUGUGCAGAUGGACUUUUCCAGCUCUACAGCCUCCAACAUCCUUUCAUUUAGGGAAGUGCCCAACGAUUCAAUCCUGGACCUUGUGCAUAUAAGAGUAUAUUACUAAGACAUGGUCUUUUCCACACUUGUCACUAUUAUGCUUAUCAUCUUUGAGUCUGAGAUUGAAAAUAAAUCCAAAUAUACAAAACAAAAUCACUCUUCAUUAUUAUUGGCACUAGAAUAUGGAAGGGGAAGAUACAUUAGAGUGGGUAGAUCAUUCAAAGUAAUUGCAAUAUAGAUAGGCAUUUAGCAUUCAGAUGCAUAUUUGAAUAUGGUUCCAAUGGAAUUUUGGUUCUUGAUACAAGAAAUAAUAUGUAACAGGCCCUGCUUCUCUUUGUGGGUCUCCUUAUUUAGUGUUAUACAAGUUUUAUAUUUUCAGAA